rnacentral:ncRNA from 1 species
GAGUCCAUCUUGGGUUACUUGGGCAACCUGUACGACGGGGCGGUCACGAGUUGAACGGGGGUUGCUAUUAAGAUUAGUAGAGGGGUUAAGCAGGGGGAUCCUCUAUCACCUAUUUCUUUUCUGCUAUGUGAUAGAUGAGUUAAUGGACAACCUAGAUAGCGGUAUUGGGUUCCCGUUGGCAGGGCAUAGAGUCAACGCGGCAGCCUUUGCCGACGACUUGGCUAUUCUGUCUAGGUCUAAAGCCGGUUUGCAGGCGCUCUUGGCAAGCUUGGCCGACUCACUUCUUCCCACUGGGCUUGAGGUGAACCCGGCUAAGUGCUCCACGCUUGCUUAUUUUGGGCGGGAAGAAUAAGCGUUGGCUGCAUGAUGCCAAGGGGCAGUUUAAGUUUAGGGGACUCUGGCCAGCACUUGGAGUUGAGGAGUCGUAUAAGUAUUUAGGACUUCAGUAUGGUUCAAAGGGCAAGUUGAAGACGGGGCUGGAGUUGCUUAAGGGUAUGCUCAGAGAGUUAAAGGAGGCGCCGUUGAAACCGCAGCAGAGAGUGUUCCUGCUCAGAACAAAUAUUCUACCUAAGAUUAUGUAUUACUUAGUUAAUGGACGCGUGCACCAGUACACUCUUCGCGAGUGUGACAAGUGUGUUCGACGUUUUCUUAGGGAGGUUCUCCAUCUGCCGCACGACACUCCGGUGUCUGCCUUUCAUGCGUGUGCGAAGGAUGGAGGCCUCGACAUCGACUGUUUUGAGUCGCUUGUCCCAAUGUAUAAAUGGCAGAAGCUGGUGAGCCUCGAAGAGGUUCCGGACAAUUUGGUCCGUGACUUGUCUCAGCUACCUGCCAUUCGCAAGCGGUUUCAACUUAAAGGUGCGCAGACCAGUUUUAAUAACAGAGCGGAGUAUCGGAUGUUCUGGAAGAACAAGUUGCUGGACAAUCUAGAUGGAUUUGGUUUAGGUGAAGCAGCGGACGUUCCUCAAGUCCACUCUUGGGUGACUGAUGGCUCGUCCCUGCUCACAGGCGAAAUGUAUAUUAAGUGCCUUAAAAUUAGGUGGAAUGUUUGGCCGACUGCAGCUCGUGCGUCCAGAGGUAGGAGGCAGGCCCCUCUCUGUGAUGCGGGCUGCAGGCAAAUUGAAGGUUUGGGGCACAUUCUGCAGCAGCAGUGUAAUAGGACUUGGGAUAAGAGAGGGGCUAGGCAUGAUAGAAUUGUUGAGUUUGUUGGUAGUCAGGUGGAACGGCUAGGGUUCAAUGUUAUUAAGGAGAAGUCUUUUGCGACUCCUAGGGGGCAUAGACGACCUGAUCUAAUUAUAUAUAAUAAGGAUAGAGUGUGGAUUGCUGACGUCACGAUCUGUGCGGACAGAGGAGCGGGGCCUAUGGCCCUCGCGAGGGACAACAAGAUCAAGUAUUAUACGGACGAUGAUCUAGCGACUGAGGUCGCGAAGGUGGCGGGCCCCUGGUGGCCCAGAGCGUUGUUGGCCUGGUUUGGAACUGGAGAGGGUGUUGCGAGAAGAAGACGGAUGAGUGGCUCAAGAAGAUGGGUGUGCCGAUCGAGUCUAGAAGGCUGGCUUCGGUCAGAGUGCUGGAAGGCUCGGUCUGGUGCGCGGAGGUGUUUAGAAAGAGAACUGGAUAAAUUUCGCGCAGGUUGGUGGUCGCAAUCGGAGCGAGUAAGUGUCGUGUUUGUGGCUCCGGCGUUCGGUAACGUCCGGACCAGUUUCAGGCAUCCGCCCGGCAGUCCCGGCUGGUCCCAUGUUUAUGACGCUGCUCUAUUUAAAGAGUUGGCCGACUUGACCACCUGGACGGGGGGUUGUACCGGUUUUCCAGCGGUUUCCACGCCAUAAAACCAGCUAAUAUGCUACCUGGAUGAUGGGCCAGUAUAGGCUCGGGCAGUAGCCCAAUGUUUCUUCGCGAAACCUUCCGGGACAGCACUUCAAAAAUAGCCAAAUGCCUCGUCAUCUAAUUAGUGACGCGCAUGAAUGGAUUAAGA